GAUCGUUAAAUAUUAAAAAGUUAUUUAUACGAAAUACUGGAAUAAAUUUAACUCUUUUUCCAUUUUCCUCUUUUUUUUUGGAUACAAUUGUUGGAGAAAACGAUUACAGCUUAAUGAUGAUUCACCACAAAAUCUGAUGCAAUCUUUUGACGAAUCUAUGAAAUUUAUAAUAAGUCUACAAAUAGGAAAAAUUAAAGGAGGUUCUUAAAGAAAUGAUUUAAGAGGAAGACACCCGGUGUGGUAUUUAAACGACGAAGGAUUCCCCCUUUUCGUAUAUAGGUGUUCACUUGUGCGCCAGCCACGUUGAAAAGUGUUUUCCGCAUUAUGAAGAUACGAGGUUAUAUUAUUACGGAGUUGCGAGCAGACGCCCAAGCGCGCAACACUUUCCGCCUUGCGAGAGCUAAUUAAGCGCGCCUUGAUGUAAUAACGACCUAAAUGCAGAGAGAUGGAGAGACUCUUAUUCCGAAAAUUAAGUGCACUAAGGUCGACCCAAUGAAAAUCACCGAUGGACUAUCCUUUACCCCUUCGUCUUUCUUCGCUUGGAACUUUGCUAAUGACUUCAGACGAUUAUUAUAGGAGCGCUUGUAGGAACAAAGUCAAAUACCAAAGUUGCAAAUCGCUACGUCCGAGAUGGUCGAAGCGGACGGUCUUAAUUAUAACGUCUCAAGUAACGAGGGUUGGCAUGGGUCGCGACGUUAAUAUAUGGGUAAGAGAACCUAAACACAGCCAUGCCAUUGUAUGUACCGCGGUGUUGGAUCUGCCAAGGCAUUAAUAGUCUCACGUGACGUAAUUAACUCGCGACCACCGAAUUUCCGGCGUUAUAACGUGAUGUAUACUGUGGCGAAGAGGAAAAUCGAAAAUUCCUCUAGCGAUUAUGAAUCAAGUAGGAUUCGUACGGCCACCUGUCGCUCGAAAUACUGAUCGAUGUUAUCCAGGUUGAUCCUAACGGUAUAACCAUGGAAGACUUAAGCCUUAUGGACUACACGUGAACGUUUUACAAAAGAUACGAAAAUACGAACAUGCGGUAAAUGGUAUAAAUAUUUUUUAUUUAUUAGUUCCAACAAAAUGACGAUUUAAUAUCUGACAUAAAUUUACUCUAUGAACAAA
rnacentral:lncRNA from 1 species